UACGUAGGUGGCAAGCGUUGUCCGGAUUUACUGGGCGUAAAGAGCGCGCAGGCGGUCGUUCAAGUCGCGUGUGAAAGCCCCCGGCUCAACUGGGGAGGGUCACGCGAUACUGAUCGACUCGAAGGCAGGAGAGGGAAGUGGAAUUCCCGGUGUAGUGGUGAAAUGCGUAGAUAUCGGGAGGAACACCAGUGGCGAAGGCGACUUCCUGGCCUGUUCUUGACGCUGAGGCGCGAAAGCCAGGGGAGCAAACGGG
rnacentral:rRNA from 1 species